UAGGGAAUCUUCCGCAAUGGGCGAAAGCCUGACGGAGCAACGCCGCGUGAGUGAUGAAGGUCUUCGGCUCGUAAAACUCUGUUAUUAGGGAAGAACAAAUGUGUAAGUAACUAUGCACGUCUUGACGGUACCUAAUCAGAAAGCCACGGCUAACUACGUGCCAGCAGCCGCGGUAAUACGUAGGUGGCAAGCGUUAUCCGGAAUUAUUGGGCGUAAAGCGCGCGUAGGCGGUUUUUUAAGUCUGAUGUGAAAGCCCACGGCUCAACCGUGGAGGGUCAUUGGAAACUGGAAAACUUGAGUGCAGAAGAGGAAAGUGGAAUUCCAUGUGUAGCGGUGAAAUGCGCAGAGAUAUGGAGGAACACCAGUGGCGAAGGCGACUUUCUGGUCUGUAACUGACGCUGAUGUGCGAAAGCGUGGGGAUCAAACAGG
rnacentral:rRNA from 1 species